ensembl:lncRNA
UUUCAAGAAAUUUGGAAGGUGAUUAGAUGAGCAAAAUGUCUUUCACCUUCCAAACCAUGUCUGCGGAGAGUGUCUUAGCUGAAAAACCAUAACAAGCAGCAGUCUGAGGAGCUUGGAAAGCUAGCAGUCAGUCAGCAUGUCAAUGGUUACACCUUCCUGUUGCCAGGCUAGUAUGAAAAAUGUGCACAUAAAAGGCACACUGGCAUUAGUGUUGCUGAGUUGCUUUUGCUGCAUGUUAAAAAAUGGACAUGUUGCCAUUCCUUGGUAACGAACAUGGAGAAAAACAUGCAAGCAGCCUUUUUUUUUUUUUUUUAAAUGAAAAUAAACCAAAACAGUUCAAAGGUCUUUGAGUAUUCCAUAAAACUGUUUAUAAUUCUUUCUGGAUCCAUCACUUUGUAGCCCCUUUAAUGGGAAGCAUGGUCAUUGAAGCUUUUGCUUAUCUAAAAAUCUUGAUUAUAGCAGCUUUAAAGAGAAACUUAAAGGAAUGCACCUGUACCUGAAAUGUCCAGAUGAAGUAGCUUUUUGCACUCCGUGUCUUUAGUUCAUCUUUACUUCUACUGUUUUCUGACAGACUGGCAGACAGAUCCACUGGUUGGGGGGGGGAGGUCAGUGGCACACAGUAGGGAUCUAAACCAGCAGUUAUUCAAAGGUUUUGGCCUCCCGUUACUGUGUGUAUUUGAAGUUGAAGUGAGUAGCAGUGAGGAUAUGUUGAGACUCUUUGUUGUACAUUUCUCUCUCCACACAAACGAGGUGUCACAAGUAUUACUAAUGAGCACGAGGCUCCAGCAAAAGACAAACUCCUAUGCAAAGAAAUCCCAGACUAAAGCUUUUACCUGUUUCUAGGUUUUGCAGUUGACAGGUUUUAUUAUAUUUUAUUGGGUGAUGUGUAUUCCUUUCUUGUGAAAUACUGAGUACAGUAGACCAAGACAGCUCUCAUUUAUGUCCUUUUCCCCCCACAGCAUUUUAAAAUGUACUCUAAAAGAAUUAUUGUAAAGAAAUGCAUAUAUAUAUGAAUAGUAUACAAUCAUAUUUAUUUUUUCCAUACAUGUAUUAAUAAUACCCAUGUUUGAAUUUCCUCUGCCUUAACUAUAGUAGCUAUAGAAAGGGACCUCUGUCAGACAGACCCGCCUUCGCUAGACCAUAGUUCUCCUGCUCCUGGUUGUUUCCUCUUCAUAAAUAAGCUCACGUGGAAUGAACGUCUAGUUACUGAAUGUGUUCACACCACCUCACUGUACAGUAGAAUGAAGGUGACGCCGACGCCUGUGAUCGCUCACUGGCUUCGGUUCCACAGUGUUGCUGUCCUUACUUACAGGAAUGAUAACUAACGGUCCACGUUUUAGUUUGAGUGGAUGGUGCCUUUUUUUUCUUUUUUAAAUUUCAUCAGCUAAACUUGUCAUGGGGUUUUAAUUUUGUAUUUUCACACUUCCUCUGUCAGUCUUUUAUUUUUCUUGUUACUAUGUAGCAUAUUGUUAGCAGCUAAGUAUCUAUUUGAUUUGACUGCAAAGAAUCCUGAUGCAGGAUUGGCUGUUGUUUUCUCUGCUCAUAGAUAUCGUCCUCACACAUUACUGAAGCGCAGUUAUGUUUUGAAAUGCUGUACAUAAAAAACAUUUUAAGGACUUCUCAUUGAGAUAUAGUAAUUGUCUUCUAAUGCACUGUCGUUGCUAAAAUAUCUAGUGGUAAAUAAAAAAUAUGGUAUUUAAUGUUUUUUAAUGUCUCGCUUUAGACACUAAACUUCUGGCAGUGCUAUGAAAGUUAGAAGGUAGGUGUGUGUGUGUGUGUGUGUGUGUGUGUGUGUGUGUGUGUGUGUGUGUGUGUGUGUGUGUGUGUGUGUGUGUGUGGAAGGACACUUACUUGUACAACGCUUUUAUAAAAUCUAGUGCACCUCUAGGCUGCCCGUCCUCUCACAUCGCCUCUUUUUUGAUAGUAUUGCAUGUGCCUGUCUUUUUCCAAUGGAGAACAUAAGCACUUACUGUCGCUCUCGCAACACUUUGUACAGGCGGACAGACGCUCCAUCUGCAGAGUUGAAAGAAGUGAUGCCAUUUGCCUUUUUUUUUUUAAAAAAAGAAAAGAAAUUGGCAUAAAAAUCACAAAAUGUUUCCACUGACACUCUGUCCCAUUGUGUGUGUGUGUGUGGGGGGGGGGGGGGGGGGGGGGGGGAUUAGAGAGGAAGCAGAAAAGUAACUGUUAUUUAAAAACCUUUUCUGUAAUUACCAUCUGCAAAUUUUGACUAAAGCUUUCAAUAAAAAUCACCUUUUUUUUUUCAAGAGGCUUUUCUUUGCCCAGGUCGCCAUUGUAAAUAAGAAUGUGCUUAUAAUUACUUGCCUGGUGGUUAAGUUAAGGUGACACUGACUUGCUGCGCCACCUUGUGGUACAAAUUGGUAUUGCAAGGAAGUACGGCACGGUCCUAGUUGAACUUCAUUUGUUAUCUCUUUAACACCUUGCAUAGAUGUUUUCAUGGCAGCUGUUUCUUCACAUCCUGUUGAAAGCUUUAGCUCAUUUUUGAAGGUUUAUAAUGUUUUUGAAAAUGGGUAUUUACAAAAAGUACCUCCCCCCCCCCCCCCCACCCGAGCCACAUCAGAGUAAUGCUUUGCAGAUUGGGGUGUCUGUCCAUUUUUGACAUUCUAUCUGUAUUACGUGAGUGCGUGUGAGCGUGAGUUUGAAAUAUACAUAUGGCCUAAAUGGUAUUGUCUUUUCAUAGUGUUUAUAGAUAAAGCAGCAAUAGGUCGGCGAAAAAGCGAAAAUCCGAAAAAGUAAAAAUUUAUUUAGCUGCUUUUAGCAAACUUGUCCAAAUUUCACUGUACAAAUGACUGUUAAAUGAGAAGAAGUCAUGUAUAUUUAUUUUAUAUCCUCUAUUAUAAUAAAAGCCUCUUUUGUCUGAA